UACGUAGGGUGCAAGCGUUAAUCGGAAUUACUGGGCGUAAAGCGUGCGCAGGCGGCUUUGCAAGACAGAUGUGAAAUCCCCGGGCUCAACCUGGGAACUGCAUUUGUGACUGCAUGGCUAGAGUACGGUAGGGGAUCACGGAAUUCCUGGUGUAGCGGUGAAAUGCGCAGAUAUCAGGAGGAACACCCGUGUGCAGACGGCUUGCUGGACCUCCACUGACGCUGAGGCACGAAAGCGUGGGGAGCAAACAGG
rnacentral:rRNA from 1 species